rnacentral:rRNA from 2 species
GGAGGGCGUUUACCACGGUGUGAUUCAUGACUGGGGUGAAGUCGUAACAAGGUAACCCUAGGGGAACCUGGGGUUGGAUCACCUCCUUACCUUAA